GUUCUCAUCAGAUCUCGGUUCUUCCCGCAGGCGUAUGUAAAAAGCGGCCUUAGCGAGCCCAUGCUAUCAACCCCCUCGUGAGACUUGGGCAACGUGGCUCUGGCAGCACUUCCUAAUGGAAACACUGGAGGGGCCUCAGCAUGGCUCUGAACUGGAGCUUCUGCAGCAGGGGGCAGCCUAAUCUAUUUACAUAACUCUAGCCUGGACAAAAGCGACUGUGUUAUCGCCCAGUUCCAAAAGCGCAUGGAACAAAUCCUCCUCCACUCCACCUGCAACAGGGAGCAAUAUUUCCAUCAAAAGUGAAAAUCCAGCCUCUUGCCCUUUGUUCCUGGGAUAAUAAAGAACGGAGGUUUGACUUCCCA